UUUCGUGCAAAAACGCAUCGAAUAAGUGUAUUUUUAUCAAAAUUUGAGAUGACCAGAGUAUUCUAUACCUUUACCUUAAUUUUUAUGUUAAAUUAGUUAUAAUGGAUUUUUCUUCAAGAAGAAGAAGAAAUUGAAAGAAAUAACAAUUCAAUAUGCAUAAUGCGUAGAAUUUUAAGGGAUUCUCAAGAUCCGUUUGAUAUUCCAGAAAAAAGAUUCCAAGAAUUAUACAGGUUAUCUCGAGAGGCAUCAAUGGGUGCAUUCAGCAGAAAAGAGCGCUACGGAACUAUCCGCUGAAUGGCACACUUUUCGCAUCGCUCUCUCAACAUGUUGUGGGAGCGGACGCCAUCUUAUUGAGCGGAAAUAUUUGUUGCUACUUCGAUGGAACUCAUCGCUACUUAUCACAUGUAUAAUCGGUGCUGUUGAUGGAACCCACGUCGCUAUUUGGCCUCUAGAAAAAGAACGAGAACAUUUAUAUAUUAACAGAAAGUUAUACCGUUCGUUAAAUGUUUUGAUAGUUUCUGACUAUUAUGGAAAAAUAUUAACUGUAAAUAAUGGACAUGGCGGGAAAACACAUGAUGCACGCAUUCGGAAUGCUUCAACUGUCUCAGCACAUUUGGAACAGCAAUAUAAUAAUAGACGGAGAAAUUAUUGAUUGUUAGGAGACUCAGCAUACCCUUUAUUACCCUUCAAUGACACCAAACUUGGGCCAACCUGAAGGAUCACCUUCUGUUCGUUACACCGAUGCUCACGCUCACAUAUUGAACAAACAAUCGGAAUUUUGAAAGGACGGUGGAGAUGUCUAAGGAAGGAAAGAGGACUGCAUUAUUCACCAGAAUUUUCUGCACUUAUUGUCAAUACUUGUUGCGUUCUUCAACGUGGCCAAAUUCUACAAUGUACCUGAACCUGAAAUACAUUAUGAUGACUUAGAUAUGGAUGAAUGAAAUAGAAUAUGGGGCAAUGAGAAUAGAAAUGGCAAUGACAUUCGAGAAAAUA